AGCCGAUGGGCUGGAACCCCUCCUGAAUGACACUGUUCAUCUUUGCCGGUCCAAACUGCUCUACACAUCAACACCGGACUGUAGACUUACUGUGUUACCUUGGCCUGCUAAAACAAGAUCCCCUAAACCAGGCAUAUCACCACAUCCAAAUGCAGGCGGAACAGAAGUGAGGAAGACGGAGCCAAUGCAAGAGGCCAGACUUUUCCUACUCAGUAACCACAUGGCCACAGGCAACUUCAGGCUCACAUUCUCUCAGCUUUAACCUCACUGAGAAAAGACUACCCUGGUGGCAC